rnacentral:lncRNA from 1 species
UUUUUUUUUUUUUUUUUUUUUUUUGGAUGCCCUUUAAAGAUUGCUGUUAACUGGAAAGACAAGAAACCCUUGUAGUUAAAAAAAAAAAAAAAUACUAAAUUUAUUUUUCAGAAAAGAAAUACCUUGAAGGUUAACGCUUUCUUUUCUUUUCUUUUUUUGGUUUUUUUUUUUUUUACUUUGCAGACCAGAGUGCUCCCUUGACAUGAGUUUCACCUAACUGUUGUUCUUUCCUUCAAGUGUCAACCAAAAGAGCAAUGAUGAGCUUGGCGUGGGCCAUGGCUGAACCCGACUGGAGACCUCUGCGGCCCUCACACACAGCCACGGGGAGCUCACAGCCAUGAUUCAGUACGGCGCACAGCAGACAGAGAGGAGACACCUUACCUGUAUCAUCUACAGAUACCGCUUGAAAAAUCACACGUAAUUAGGCCCUUCUCACAGGGGAAGCUACUCGAAGCUCUAUCACCAGCUGGUAAGAUGGCAUCUCUGGGUUUCACUGGUGGUUCUGUGAACAUUUCCAGACCAGAGGCACCUGACAAUCCAGGUGACAUGUUUACCACGCCUCUCCUAGUCCUCUAAAAACAGCAGCUCCGCGCUACCUAACUGAAGGAAAACGCAAUGGUGGGAGAUGUACUGACAUCUGCAGGGUGGCCCUGAGGUGGCUUCCCCCCCAGACUGUUCUGCUCCAUUAAUCCUGGUGCAAGAAAUAAGAUGUCGUGGUCACUAGGUGCCACCCCUGCUUGUCCUCCAUUGGCCCUUGCUGUACACAGGUGGGUAGUCAACCUUCGAAACAGCCCAAUUGUCUAGUGAAGCACGUAAGAGUUCAAAUACCAGCUCAAGCUACUUCCUGCACCUCCCUGCUCCCUUCUGCAGUGAGGAUAUGUUUUAACACGGCAGUACAGUUAUAUGGGUUAAAAAUAACAGACACAGCUCACCCCAAUGUGUGGCCUGUGUUAGGCUCUCAAUUAUAGGUAGUUAUGAUUAAAAUUCCUAACACUGAGUUCGCCUGGGUCAGGAAAAACUAGCAUGGGUAGAAUCUGAACUGGAUGGUGUCUGCAAAGUUAUUUCUAUGUCAGAACAUGUUUGUUCAAUCACGAUGGUCCCCGCCCUCCUUAUCUACGAAUAUAUAUAUAUACUGUAGAUAUUUAUAGACUAAUAGGUAUAUAAAAUCAGUUAUGCAAGUUGUAAUUGACUGUGCAAUUACUGAGUAAACAGUAGAUGAAAGGAAAAUGUGAGGAUGUGAGAGCUGGCUUUAAUUCAUGUUUUAUCUUAUAUUCAUUAAACUGUUUAUUUACUUGUCUACACUCUCCUCCCUGUUGAUUAUUUUCCAGGCAUACAUUUCCCUUGAGCAACGUCAGAUGAGAAAGUGAUUUCAUUUCCAUCACAGGGGAGAAGACAAACAGAAGACCCAGAGGCAGCGACUUGCUUGGAGGCCUCCAAGGUGAGAAAAUUGAGGAAUGAAAAGGAUACGUGACUUACCCAAGUAAGUGGGGUUCACAUCUAAACUGUCUGGUUUCAGAGCUCACAGUCCUGCCCACCCUGGAAAGACACAGACGUGCUGACAAGGAGCUUACAGAGUAAAAAGGGGUGGCAACCUUAACAAAAAAGACAAAUCAGUCAUUACAAACCAAGGCAGGACCAUGAUUGAAAAGAACAGGAAAAACAAGAGUUAAGAACAAUAAACUGUUUUAGCCAGGCGGCCAGAGAAGUCUUCUCCAGGUAGGUGAAUGUAUGAGGGAUGAAUACUAUCAGACCAAGAAUGGCUGAGACAGAGAAGACUGUGCUAUAGAGAACAGUAGGCAGAACACAGCUUGGUUAUGUUUGAAGGACUGAAAAAUGGCCAGUGCUUCAGAAGGCCAUAAAGGGGAGUGUGUCUCUUCUUGCUCGCUGCCAUAGGACAGGGAUUGGUCAAUAGAUUUUUUUUUUGUAUGGCACCAAGGAGUAACUAUUUUAAGCUUUGUAGGCCAUGCAGCCUCCAUCACAAUUAUGCAACUCUGACGCUGCAGCGUGAAAGCUACUGCAUAUAAGUAAACAGGUGAGCAUGUAUGUUGCAAUAAAAGUGCACAUAGGGACACUGGAAUUUAGAUUUCAGUGUGACAGGAAACGGAUGAGCAUGUAUGUUCCAAUGAAACGGUAUAUACGGACAGCAGAAUUUAGACUUCAGUGAGACAGUUCCACAAAUAGCAAGUAUGUGUGCAAAAACACGUAAGAGUCACAUUUGGUGCAUUUCCAACACAUUAAUCCUUACAUAUAUCCAAGGCACCUUAACCUUAGAGCUCAGUGAAUUCUGUCAGCUGACGGAAUGUAAAAGCAAGAUACAAUUUUGAAUAAAAUUUAGUAACUGGGCUAUUGGUUUUUAAAUCACUCUUAAUCAGGAUUAUCCAGGAAAAAUAGUAUCAAUAGGAUAUGUAUGUAUAUGAAGAGAUUUGUUAGCAGAUAAAUGGCUCACACAAUUACGGAGGCUGGAAAGUUGCAUAAUUUUGCCCGCCAGCUGGCAACCCAGAAGAGGCAGUGGUGUAGAUCCUAGUCUGAGUCUGAAAGCCCAAGAAACAGGAGCACCCAGGGAAGGAGGGCCAAUGUCCCAGCUCAAGCAGCGAGUCUGGAAGGGCCAAACUCUUCCUUCCUCUGCCUUUAUGUUCUGUUCAGGCUCUCAGCAGAGUGGCUAAGCCCACCCACCCUGGGGAGGGCACAGUGCUUUGCCGAGUGCACUGGCUCAAAUGCUAAUUUCAUCUGGACACGCCUUCACAGACAUUUUCAGAAAUAACAUUUAACCAGUAUCUGGGCAACCCGUGAUCCAGUCAAGAUGACACACAAAAUUUUAACCAUUACAGUCUGAUAAAGAGGAACAAAUCAUCACCCAGGAAAAAGAAAUAUUGGCAUUGAUGAAGAUAAUACAAAGGAAUGUUCCAUCUUUACAAAGAGAACAACAACAAAAUAAUGAAUGCAUCAUCAUUCAAAGAGUAUUUCAGAUUGAUCACUGCCCCAGAAAACUAAAAUUGUCUAAAAUCUUAAGAGGUCGCCUAUAAAACACUUGACGGACACUUUCCUAAAGUUGACAUGACAAUCCUAAAAAUUUAUAUCACCUAACCAGUAAUGAGUUAUGAAGCCAAAAUAAAUUUUUCUAAAUUGACAAUAAAUUUUGAUCAAUCCAGAAGGUAGAAAGAUUAAAUCCUCUUUCGAAUAAUUUCUAUAGAAAAUGAUAAUCCAAGACCACUGUAUUAACAGGUAAUCCAAGAGUAUGUAGCCAAAAUAUACAGGAAACACACAUUAUAGGAAAAGUCAGGUAGUUAAUAAAAAAUAAACAUGUUAUUUGGGGGAUUUUGUGAUAUAUAUUUCAGCUUUAAAAAUUGCGUAAUUUGUGGAGUUCCUAUUGUGGCUCAGUGGGUUAAGAACCUGACUAGCAUCCAUGAGGAUGCGGGUUUGAUCCCUGGCCUAUAUCAGUGACUUAAGGAUCUGGUGUUGCUGCAGACUGAGGCACAGGUUGCAGGUGUGGCUGUGGCUGGCAGCUGCAGCUCUGAUUCGACCUCUAGCCCAGGAACUUCCAUCUGUUGCAAGUGUGGCCAUAAAAAGAAAAAAAAUCUUUUAACUUAUUUUUUUUGGUCUUUUUGUCUUUUCUAGGGCCACGCCCAUGGCAUAUGGAGGUUCCCAGGCUAGGAGUCAAAUCGGAGCUGUAGCUGCCGGCCUAUGCCACAGCAACGUGGGAUCUGAGCUGCGUCUGCGACCUACACCACAGCUUAUGCCAACGCCGGAUCCUUAACCCACUGAGCGAGGCCAGGGACCGAACCCACAACAUCAUGGUUCCUAGUCAGAUUUGUUAAUCACUGAUCCAUGACGGGAACUCCUAUAACUUAUUUUUUAAAAUGUCUACAGUUCUUUUAGCCAUGCCUACAGCAUGCGGAAGUUCCCAGGCCAGGGCUUGAACCCAUGCCAUAGCAGUGACAACACCAGAUUUUUAACCUGUUGUACCACAGGGAACUCAUCUACAUCCUUUUUCUUAAAGCUGCCGACCUGCCUCUGCCUUGGAAGUGCGCUUACGGCCUAUUUCCCCAGGACAGCUAUCCUUUCCUUCCUUUGGACCUGUUCUCAGGCCUUCAGACUUGGGUCCUGGACUGGAACUAACUGGGCUUUCCUGGACCUCCAGUUUGCAGAGGGACUUAACCUCUGAAACCAAAUUGUUUGCAUACACAGUUACUUUUAAAAAUAUACACAGGAGACGGGAUUGAGACAGUGGAGUAGAAGGAGUAAAGCUCGCCUUCUCUCAUGAAAACAACAAAAUUACAACCAACGGCUGAACAACCUUCAAUAAAACAGACUGGAAACUAUCAAAAAAGAUAUCCUACUCCAAAAGACAAAUAAGAGGCCACAUUGAGAUGGUAAAAGGGGUGAUUAUGUGAUAUAAGCAACUCCAUACCCACUGGGGGGAUAGCCCACAGACUGGAAAGUUAACUGUAUCACAGGGGCUCACCCACGGGAGUAAGGGUUCUGCGCCCCAUGUCAGGUUCCCAUGCUUGGGGAUCUGGCAUUGGGAGAGGGAGCCCCGGGAGCAUUUGGCAUUGAAGGCCAGUGGGGCUUACACACAGGAGCUUCACAGAACUGGGGGAAAUGGAGACUCCACUCUUGAAAGGCGCACACAGGCUUUUGUGUGUUUGGGUCCAAGGACAAAGCAGAGACUCCAUAGGAAUCUAGGUCAGACUUGCCUGUGGUUCUUGGAGGAUCUCCUGGGAAAACAGUGGGUGACUGUGGCUCGUUGUUGGGCAAGGAUACUGGAGGCAAAUGUCUCAGAAAUAAUCAUCAGCAUGAAUUCCUCUAGAGGUGGCUGUUUUGCAAAAAUUUAGCACCAGGCCAGAGAACAAACCCAGUGGGAACACAGCCCCACCCAUCAGCAAACAGGCUACCUAAAGGCCCGCCCCCACCCAGGCACAUAGACUCCUCUAAUCACACCCACAGACAAAGCCCCACCCACCAGAAGGACAAGACUCAGCUCCACCCACUAGGGGGCAGGCACCAGUCCCUCCCAUCAGGAAGUAGGCAGCAUGCCCCCAUACCAACUUCAGCCACCCUCAAGGGGGGCAGACAUCAGAAGCAAGAGACUACAACCCUAUUACCACACUAAAAAUCUAUACAAAAUGAAAAAGGCAUAGAAUUAGGACUCAGAUAAAGGAACAAGGAAAAAAAAAAAAAAAA